UGCAGAUCUUGGUGGUAGUAGCAAA
rnacentral:ncRNA from 9 species